CAUCCCAGGCUCCAGGACAUUGGGAGGGAAAGAAGCUUUAAAAGCAGAGCUUGGGACUUCCCAGGCAGUACAGUGGUUAAGACUCUGUGCUCCCUAUGUAGGGGGCACAGGGUUCGAUCCCUGGUCAGGGGACUAAGAUCCUAUAUGCCACACAGCAUGCCCCCCCCCCAAAAAAGUAAAAGAAAAUAAUAAUAAAAAAAUAAAAGCAGAGCUGAGUUUCUGGGUGUAUACUCAAAAGAACUGAUUUUUUUAAAGUUCUCUCCAACAGAUAUUUGUACACCCAUGUUCCUAGCAGCAUUAUUCACAAUAGCCAAAAAUGUGGAAACAACCCAAACGUCCAAUUAGUGGAUGAAUGGAUAAACAAAGAGUGAUUAUAUACAUACAAUGGAAUAUUAUUCAGCCUUCAAAAAGAAGGAUUUAUAGUCUAACGUGUGUUACAAAUGGAUGAACCUUGAAGACAUUAUGCCAAGUGAAAUAAGCCAGUCACAAAAGGACAAAUAUUGUAUGAUUCCAUUUAUAUGAGGUACCUGGAGUAGUCAAACUCAUAGAGACAAAGUAGAAUGGUGCUUGCAGGGGGAGGGGGGAGAAUGGGGAGUUAUUGUUUAAUGGGUAUGGAGUUUCAAUUUGGGAAGAUAAAGUUCUGGAGAUAGACGACGGUGAUGAUUGCAUAACAAUGUGCAUGUACUUAAUGCCACUAAACUGUACACUUAAAAAUGGGUAAAAUGGUAAGUUUUAUAUCGUGUAUACUUUACCACACAAAAAAAGUAGAGCUGAGGUCCUUGAGGUGGGGAUUUUGAAGCUGUAAAUUUUGGAUCUAAAUGUUAAUGUGAUUUGCUAACAUGUGAGCAUCUCUGUUUUCUUCCCACCCUCACACUCCUUUCUAGCUAACAAGAGUUUUGUCUUUUGUCACUCAGAGUCUCCUCCUUCCAUGAAUUCUGAGAAGUUUUGAAUUUGCCAGCUAGGUUCCCUAACUUGGGAUGCAGAACUAGUAGACUGAAGAGAGAACAGACAGAAGAGGAAACUAGUUUGGGAGGGUCAGUGCUUUCUUCAGGAGGGAGCAUAGAAUAAAAUAAAGGUCACCACAGAGCAUUGUGUAGAGUUCCCUGAGCUAUACAGUUUUAAAAUCUGAUCAUAUCUGACGUAUUCUAGCUGUGUGACAUUGGGCAGGUCCAGACUUUCUCAGAUCUUCAUCUAAAAAAUGGAAUUAACACCACCUACCUUCCAGGUUAUUACAACAUGUUCAAUAUAGUUCCCUGUGCUAUAUAUACCAGGACCUCUGGUUUUUUAGCCGAGCACAUGGCUGGCUGGCUGGGAUAAAGACUGCAUCUGUUAGCUUCCCUGCAUGUGGGCAUGACCAUGUGACUGCUUUCUAGCCUAUGAGAUAGCCAUUAGUUGACAACUAGUAUUUCAUCUUGUGAAGAAACAUUUUUCCAAAGGUAAGUGAUUCCUUCAGCUUUAUAUCAACUUCUUUUUCUUCUGUUAAAUAUAUGUUCAAUGUCGUAAUUUUUAUUUUUAAAAGCGUAAAGACUAUGAUCCUUUUUUGUAAAAUUAUCUAUCCCUCUAUCUGCAAAUUCAUU